CCUACGGGAGGCUGCAGUGAGGAAUAUUGGUCAAUGGACGAGAGUCUGAACCAGCCAAGUAGCGUGAAGGAUGACUGCCCUAUGGGUUGUAAACUUCUUUUAUAAAGGAAUAAAACGAGGCACGUGUGCCUUUUUGCAUGUACUUUAUGAAUAAGGAUCGGCUAACUCCGUGCCAGCAGCCGCGGUAAUACGGAGGAUCCGAGCGUUAUCCGGAUUUAUUGGGUUUAAAGGGAGCGUAGAUGGGUUGUUAAGUCAGUUGUGAAAGUUUGCGGCUCAACCGUAAAAUUGCAAUUGAUACUGGAAGUCUUGAGUACAGUUGAGGUAGGCGGAAUUCGUGGUGUAGCGGUGAAAUGCUUAGAUAUCACGAAGAACCCCGAUUGCGAAGGCAGCUUACUAAACUGUGACUGACAUUGAUGCUCGAAAGUGUGGGUAUCAAACAGGAUUAGAUACCCCGGUAGUC
rnacentral:rRNA from 1 species